rnacentral:rRNA from 1 species
CCUACGGGUGGCAGCAGUGAGGAAUAUUGGUCAAUGGCCGUAAGGCUGAACCAGCCAAGUCGCGUGAAGGAAGAAGGUUCUAUGGUUUGUAAACUUCUUUUAUAGGGGAAUAAAGGUAUCCACGUGUGGAUAUUUGCAUGUACCCUAUGAAUAAGCAUCGGCUAACUCCGUGCCAGCAGCCGCGGUAAUACGGAGGAUGCGAGCGUUAUCCGGAUUUAUUGGGUUUAAAGGGUGCGUAGGUUGUUUUUUAAGUCAGCGGUGAAAGUUUGUGGCUCAACCAUAAAAUUGCCGUUGAAACUGGCAGACUUGAGUGUGUUUGAGGUAGGCGGAAUGCGUGGUGUAGCGGUGAAAUGCAUAGAUAUCACGCAGAACUCCGAUUGCGAAGGCAGCGUACUAGGCCAUAACUGACACUGAAGCACGAAAGCGUGGGGAUCGAACAGGAUUAGAUACCCUAGUAGUC